GUAAGGAAUAUUGGACAAUGGGGGAAACCCUGAUCCAGCCAUGCCGCGUGAGUGAAGAAGGCCUUCGGGUUGUAAAGCUCUUUCAGAUGUGAAGAUGAUGACGGUAACAUCAGAAGAAGCUCCGGCUAACUUCGUGCCAGCAGCCGCGGUAAUACGAAGGGAGCGAGCGUUGUUCGGAAUCACUGGGCGUAAAGAGUGCGUAGGCGGUUAUACAAGUCAGGAGUGAAAUCCCAGGGCUCAACCCUGGAAUUGCUUUUGAAACUGUAUAGCUAGAGUCCCGGAGGGUUUAAUGGAAUUCCGAGUGUAGAGGUGAAAUUCGCAGAUAGUCGGAGGAACACCAGUGGCGAAGGCGAUUAACUGGACGGGCACUGACGCUGAGGCACGAAAGCGUGGGGAUCAAACAGGAUUAGAUACCCGUGUAGUCC
rnacentral:rRNA from 1 species